ACGUCAUCGCCGCAUUCAGAGACAUUACUUGUUGAGAAAAGAAACAUAGAUCGAGAUCAAGACUGCGCAUGCGCUGAAGAUAACGCCAUCUGGGGGCAGCGGUGCCGCAGCCAUGAUCGCACUGUCAGUGCUAACGUUUGUGAUAGCUACCUGUGGAGUUGAACAAAUCGUCUUUUUUUUGGCUUACGAUGUCGGGAAGAACCUGUUGUGUGUUCGGCUGUUACAACAGCAGUGGGGAGAUAGAGAUAUGGAACAAAAAUGUAUAAGUUCACCGUUAUUACCGUGUUGACACCAUAAGCACUAGCUAAUAGCACUGCAGCUUCCCAGCGAGCUGAAGAACAAGCUGUUCGUCAGAAGUGGAGUGGAUUGUGAACAUCAACUUUCAGAACAAACAUGUCACGGGGUCAUUGUCAUCUGGAAGAGCACCUCCCAAAAGAAGAUGUCCUCAGCCUUUACAAGAGGACACAUCAUGUGCUUGGAAUUUGUGCACAAUGGAAUAAAGAACAGUUGUUGAUGUAUUAAUUACAGUUUAUUUGAA